UUUUUCGACGGAGAUGGCAUUCCUUCCGUGAACCGCCCUGGCAUCGCCCGGGGCUAAUGAUGCCUACAGACAC
rfam:Variovorax sp. PAMC 28711, complete genome.